rnacentral:rRNA from 1 species
CGAUUUUGCCGCAUUUCGUGUGAUUUGGGUAUGGCCAGCCAUUGUAGGAGAUACUGGAAGAACAUGU